UACGUAGGGGGCAAGCGUUGUCCGGAAUCAUUGGGCGUAAAGAGCGUGUAGGCGGCCAGAUAAGUCCGCUGUGAAAUCUCGAGGCUCAACUUCGAGCUGUCGGUGGAAACUGUCUGGCUAGAGUCCGGAAGAGGAGAAUGGAAUUCCCGGUGUAGCGGUGAAAUGCGCAGAUAUCGGGAAGAACACCCGUGGCGAAGGCGGUUCUCUGGGACGGUAC
rnacentral:rRNA from 1 species